UCCCUGGAGGGCUAGUGAUUAGGCCAUGGUGCUCUCACUGCAGCAGCCUGGGUUGGAUUCCUGGCCAGGGAA